AAGGGAAAAAGCCAGCCGAGCUGCCCUCACUGCUUUGUCCGUAUCAACCUGUGAAAAGGAAGAAACAAAUUGAAGACACAGGUGGGAAAGUGGAUCCUGGAUAAAAGUCCUGCCCAAGACAAAACUCCAAGCUGAAGACUCCCAUUAUCUAUAAAUCACUUGAAUUUCCUGCAGAGAAAGAGAAAAAGGAAGAAAGAGCGAGACAGACAGACA